rnacentral:lncRNA from 1 species
GUGCUGAGUUUAGAUUUUAUCUGCUCUACCUGUAACUGUACCUACAGCCCCACACACUGUUGAUGAUGUACACAAACUAUAAAUAUUAACCCAUAAGGACACAAACGAAAGCUUUGACUUCAAUGUUAUUUCAUAUAGAAAAUGAUCAGGCUGGAUCAUAGUUAAUGAGGAGCAUCGAUCAUGUGAUGAUCGAUCCAUCGAGCUGUUUUUGUUGAGCCUCGGUGCUUUUAUUGUGACACACCAGGCCAGCCUCGUACCGGAAGCGGUGGUGGUUGCUGUGAGCUUGGAGCGGCCGGUCGACAGAAGGUCGCACCGACACAGGGUUCAGCGGCUCGGCCCGGUGGACGUUCGCCUUCUGUCUGCGUGAGCGGGAAACCGAGCGGCAUUCUUCCGGGAUUAUCAGAAAUGCUAACAGUUUAACUCGUUAGCUGCCAGGCUGUUAGCUGUUAGCAUGCAGUGCGCUAACGUUGUGAAGAAGAGGAGUUUGGAGACGGUGGUGGAGCCGUGGAGCUGCACACCGAAGCGGAUGUGUUUGGAGGCGGAGCUCCCAGCUGAAUGUCCAAUGGAACUGUCCCAGAGUCCGGCUGUGGCCGGCCAGCAGCAGCAGGUCGGUCCGGUCCGGCCCAGGUCUUCUCCGCUCCGCUGUCCCAGAUGUCUCGGAGGAGAACCAGGUCACAUCAACCACAUCCUGGGCCUCUGAGCGGGAGGAAGAGGAGGAAGAGGAGGAGUCCAGGCCUGGGAGCUGCAGCGUCUCCCCGUCCAAUCAUAUUCUGCUUGUUUUUUUAGUAAUGCUGCUGCAUGAUGUCAUCAUGACCACGCCCCCAAAUGGAUUGAUCAGGUGUGAUAUCCCCUGCUGAUGAUGAUUGCAGCCCGUGGUCUUCAUCAGCUGAUUCUUCAUGUGUCAUGGAGAUCGACCCCCCCCCCCCCCCCCCCCCACCUGCCUGAUGAUUGGUUCAGUUAGGUGUGAUGUGUCUGGUUUACAUCAGCUAAUCAGUAAUCAAUGACUGUUAUUAUUCUAUUGAUCUCUGACCUCCACACUCCUCAUGAGGCGUUCACUGUUUCUUGGUGCAGACAGUAAAGGGCUAUUACAAACUACUACACUCAGACGCUGCCUGAAAGUCUGCCCGGUUUUCAGGGUUCAACAGCUUCUCAGUAUUAAAGUAAGAUUAAGAUUUACUUUAUUAAUCCCCAGGGAAAUUAGAUUAUUAUUGUUGUAUUAUUGAGACAUUUGUCAAACAAAGUGCUCACAGAGCUCUGCUGCUUUUAUUGUGACAGUCUGACUGACAGGAAACAGCCUAAAAUCAUGACAGAUGUCAGAUUAUAGGAUUACAUGUUUGUACAGUAUCGAGGUGGCUUUUGAAUCGUAAUUUAAGUGAAAUCAGGAGUUAAAGGGAUUUAAAAUGUUGAAUGAGAAGAGUAAUGUGGCAUUAAGUGAUUCAGAAAAUUUAUAUUUUUAUAUUUUUACAUUCUGACUGAAAGUAACAGCUUCCUACAGAGUGCUAUUUUUACAUCUGGGGCUGACCAAUCAAAGGGCUGCGUUUGUACUGUAGUCUAAUUUUUGAAAAUAAAACAUUUGACUGAAUUCUGAAGUGGUCUUUG